rnacentral:rRNA from 1 species
AAGAAAGCAAAAGGAGGGCGUAUGGGGGAUGCCUAGACUUCUAGAGGCUACGAAGGACGUGAUAAGCUGCGAAAAGCUGCGGGGAGUGGCACAUACACCUUGAUCCGCAGAUGUCCGAAUGGGGCAACCCGAUAGUGUGAAGCACUAUCUUAUAGCAAACGUGGGGAACUGAAACAUCUAAGUACCCAUAGGAAAAGAAACCAAUAGGGAUUCCGCGAGUAGUGGCGAGCGAAAGCGGACGAGCCUAAAGUUGUCGGUGUAGUGGAAGUGGACUGGAAAGCCACACCAAAGAACGUGAAAGUCGAGUACACGAAAUAAAGACAAUGGAAUCAAGUAGGGCGAGACCGGAGAAAUCUUGUCUGAAGAAGGCUGCACCAUCAGCCAAGGCUAAAUACUCCUAGAAGAUCGAUAGCGCAUAGUACUGUAAAGGAAAGGUGAAAAGAACCGCAAGAAGCGGAGUGCAAAGAACCUGAAACCAUACGCCUACAAGCGGUCGGAGCGCAAGUGACGGCGUGCCUUUUGCAUAAUGAGCCUACGAGUUACUCCUAACUAGCGAGUUUAAGUGCUUCAGGCACGAAGGCGGAGCGAAAGCGAGUCUGAAUAGGGCGUGAGCUAGUUGGGGUAGACGCGAAACCGAGUGAUCUAUCCAUGAGCAGGUUGAAGUUUGGGUAACACCAAAUGGAGGACCGAACCAGUUGACGUUGAAAAGUCUUUGGAUGACUUGUGGAUAGGGGUGAAAGGCCAAUCAAACUCGGAGAUAGCUCGUACUCCCCGAAAUGCAUUUAGGUGCAGCGUUCGCAUAAUGUUGUCGUAGAGGUAGAGCUACCGAUAGGGCUAGGGGGUUUCACCACCUACCAACCCCUGACGAACUCCGAAUGCUACGACAAUAAACGAGCAGUGAGGCUACGGGUGCGAAGGUCCGUGGCCGAGAGGGGAACAACCCAGACCAUCAGCUAAGGUCCCUAAGUAAUGACUAAGUUGGAUAAACGAGGUGGGAAUGCACAGACAGCUAGGAUGUUGGCUUGGAAGCAGCCAUUCAUUUAAAGAGUGCGUAACAGCUCACUAGUCGAGCGUUCCUGCGCGGAAAAUAAGCGGGCAUCAAGUCAUUCACCGAAGCUAUGGAUUAAUGGUAGGGGAGCAUUCUAAGGGCGUAGAAGGUCAGUCGUGAGAGUGGCUGGAGCGCUUAGAAAAGCAAAUGUAGGCAUGAGUAACGAUAAAAGGGGUGAGAGACCCCUUCGCCGUAAGACCAAGGGUUCCUCGUUCGAUGUUAAUCAGAACAGGGUUAGUCGGGGCCUAAGGGGAAGCCGAAAGGCGCACCUAAUGGAAAGCAGGUUAAUAUUCCUGCACCUGCAUACAAAAAAAGGGGACGGGGUGAAGUAGUCAGUGCGUACGGACGGAAUAGUGCGCUGAGAGGAUUCCUACGGGGAGAAUCGAACUGAUGAAAUUGCCUCCAAGAAAAGCCGAAGUAUGCAGCUCGUACCGUAAACCGACACAGGUGGUCGAGGAGAGUAUCCUCAGGCGCUCGAGUGAUUCGUGGCUAAGGAACUAGGCAAAAUGGUCUCGUAACUUCGGGAGAAGAGACGCCUCGCAAGAGGCCGCAGUGAAGAGGCCCAGGCGACUGUUUAGCAAAAACACAGGACUCUGCAAAGUCGAAAGACGACGUAUAGGGUCUGACACCUGCCCGGUGCUGGAAGGUUAAGGAAGGGGGUUAGUGCGCAAGUGCGAAGCUCUUAACUGAAGCCCCAGUAAACGGCGGCCGUAACUAUAACGGUCCUAAGGUAGCGAAAUUCCUUGUCGGGUAAGUUCCGACCUGCACGAAUGGUGUAACGAUCUGGGCACUGUCUCAGCCACGAGCUCGGUGAAAUUGAAGUAUCGGUGAAGAUGCCGAUUACCCGCAACGGGACGAAAAGACCCCGUGAACCUUUACUAUAACUUCACAUUGUGCUUGAGUAUAAGAUGUGUAGGAUAGGUGGGAGGCUA